AAAGGCUCCAAUCGAAGCCAUUCAUGCUCUCCUGUAGCAGCGAAUGGUCAAAUGGAAGCCAAGAUAAAAGACUUUCACUGACGGUCGCUGUUCAGUUUGAAAAAUAACUGCUCCGGCAACAUUUUGGGGAAGAACAUUU